rnacentral:rRNA from 1 species
UACGUAGGGUGCAAGCGUUACUCGGAAUUACUGGGCGUAAAGCGUGCGCAGGCGGUUUUGUAAGUCAGAUGUGAAAUCCCCGGGCUUAACCUGGGAACUGCGUUUGAAACUACAAGGCUAGAGUGUGGCAGAGGGGGGUGGAAUUCCACGUGUAGCAGUGAAAUGCGUAGAGAUGUGGAGGAACACCGAUGGCGAAGGCAGCCCCCUGGGUUAACACUGACGCUCAUGCACGAAAGCGUGGGGAGCAAACAGG